rnacentral:rRNA from 1 species
UGGUCUGWGAGWACGAUCAGCCACACUSGGACUGAGACACGGCCCWGCCUCYUACGGGAGGCAGCAGUGGGGAAUUUUGGACAAUGGGCGAAAGCCUGAUCCAGCAAUGCCGCGUGUGUGAAGAAGGCUUUCGGGUUGUAAAGCACUUUUUCCGGAAAGAAAUGGCUCUGGUUAAUACCUGGGGUCGAGACGUWCCCGAAGUUGUUGUUKUU